UGUUAAGUGCCAGAGCUUAUUAACUUGUUCAAAAAGUCGAUCGUACAAUACAUUUUAAGGGUUCCACGUACCCUAUAAAUAAAAGCUUCUAGCCCGUGGAUGAGAAUACUUGCAUUCACUUGCUGUGGACAAAAGUUGACCUGCUAUACGACGAGUUAAAGAGGACGAGGACUCUUAGAGUUUCAGAACCUAUAAUUAAUCCCUUGAAGAUGGACAAGAUACUCAUGAUKAUCAGCCUAUGCGUUCUCUUUUUGUUCUUCAUCUCACGAACCACAUCAGACGAAUUGCAGUCAGAUGCAAUUGAAAGAAAUGACUUUGAGGCGGAAAAAGAAGCAAAGAGCUCUAGCUGGAUCCCAGGCCCUCUUUUCAAGAGAAGACCUGCCGCCGCCUACUCGAGUCGACGGCGGCACGGGCGCUUUGGUCAAUUGGGAAAAUAAUUUUAUGUAAAAUUAUGAAUCAGAUUAAGAUAUGAAUUCAAACAAAUGCAAUUAAAUGCUUCUUUUUUUGUGCGUACCAUAUUCUAUCCACAGUAUAAGCGCAAUAAAUGUAAAGAGUUACAGAGGCCAUUGCUUUUAGACACAAUAAAAAMCACAAUAAUCGAGA